rnacentral:rRNA from 1 species
UAGGGAAUUUUCCACAAUGGGCGAAAGCCUGAUGGAGCAACGCCGCGUGCAGGAUGAAGGCUUUCGGGUCGUAAACUGCUUUUAUGUGCGAAGAAUAUGACUGUAACACAUGAAUAAGGGUCGGCUAACUACGUGCCAGCAGCCGCGGUCAUACGUAGGACCCAAGCGUUAUUCGGAAUUACUGGGCGUAAAGAGUUGCGUAGGCGGCAUAGUAUGUGGAUAGUGAAAUCGUGUGGCUCAACCAUACACACAUUAUCUAAACUGCUAAGCUAGAGUAUGAUAGAGGUAACUGGAAUUCCAAGUGUAGGAGUGAAAUCCGUAGAUAUUUGGAGGAACACCGAUGGCGUAGGCAGGUUACUGGAUCAUCACUGACGCUGAGGCACGAAAGCGUGGGGAGCAAACG